AGGGUGAACGCUGGCGGCGUGCCUAACACAUGCAAGUCGAGCGGUGCAGUUUGAAGCUUCGGUGGAAAAGCUGCAUAGCGGCGGACGGGUGAGGAAAACGUAGGAACGUGCCCCUUGGAGUUGGAUAGCCACGGGAAACUGUGGGUAAAACCGACAUAGGACUCGAGAGAGUAAAGGCCCGAAAGGCGCCAAGGGAGCGGCCUGCGGCCCAUCAGGUAGUUGGUAGUGUAAAGGACUACCAAGCCGACGACGGGUAGCCGGUCUGAGAGGAUGGCCGGCCACAAGGGCACUGAGAGACGGGCCCUACUCCUACGGGAGGCAGCAGUGGGGGAUUUUGGACAAUGGGCGAAAGCCUGAUCCAGCGACGCCGCGUGGAGGACGAAGCCCUUCGGGGUGUAAACUCCUUUUCUCAGGGAAAAAGGAUGAUGGUACCUGAGGAAUAAGCCCCGGCUAACUACGUG
rnacentral:rRNA from 1 species